UACGUAGGGGCCUAGCGUUGUCCGGAAUUAUUGGGCGUAAAGAGCUCGUAGGCGGCUCGGCAAGUCGGAUGUGAAAUCUCCACGCUUAACGUGGAGGGGCCAUUCGAAACUGCUGUGACUCGAGUCCGGUAGGGGAGUGUGGAAUUCCCGGUGUAGCGGUGAAAUGCGCAGAUAUCGGGAGGAACACCAGUAGCGAAGGCGGCACUCUGGGCCGGUACUGACGCUGAGGAGCGAAAGCGUGGGGAGCGAACAGG
rnacentral:rRNA from 1 species